rnacentral:rRNA from 1 species
UGCCUACGGGGCGCAGCAGUGAGGAAUAUUGGUCAAUGGGCGGGAGCCUGAACCAGCCAAGUCGCGUGAGGGAAGACGGUCCUAUGGAUUGUAAAGCUCUUUCGGACGUGACGAUGAUGACGGUAGCGUCUAAAGAAGCACCGGCAAACUUCGUGCCAGCAGCCGCGGUAAUACGAAGGGUGCGAGCGUUGUUCGGAAUUACUGGGCGUAAAGGGAGUGUAGGCGGAUAUGUAAGAUAGCGGUGAAAUGCCGGGGCUCAACCCCGGAACUGCCAUUAUGACUAUGUACCUAGAGUAAUGGAGAGG